GGGCGGUUAGCUCAGUUGGCUAGAGCGUCCCGACGUUACGUCGGGAAGGUCAGAGGUUCUCCGCCACAUUAAUAAAAAUUAUUUAGGCGGAUCCGCCUCUGGCGGAAAAUCCUCUACCGCCCA
rnacentral:tRNA from 1 species